AUUGAACGCUGGCGGCAGGCCUAACACAUGCAAGUCGAACGAGUGGCGGACGGGUGAGUACUGCUUGGGAAUCUAGCUUAUGGAGGGGGAUAACUACGGGAAAAUGUAGCUAAUACCGCGUACCAUAGGAUGAGCCCAAGUGGGAUUAGGUAUUUGGUAAGGUAAAGGCUCACCAAGCCGACGAUCUCUAGCUGGUCUGCGAGGAUGACCAGCCACACCGGGAAUGAGACACGGCCCAGACUCCUACGUGAGGCAGCAGUGGUGAAUAUUGCGCAAUGGGGGCAACCUGACGCAGCCAUGCCGCGUGAAUGAAGAAGGCCUUCGGGUUGUAAAGUUCUGUCGGUAGCGAGGCGUUAACUACAGAAGAAGCACCGGCUAACUCCGUGCCAGCAGCCGCGGUAAUUC
rnacentral:rRNA from 1 species